CACGAUCAACAUAAACGGGCUAAUUACCAUAUAGUGACCUUCACUUUAAAGUUCUAUAGCUAUUAGACACCUUUAGCUAUUAGAACCCAACUUUUGCACUUUACGCGAUUUAGUCUUUUUUAUCAAAUUAACCAUGCAAACGUUAAAAUUUCUUAACAAAAUUUUUAUAAAUCAUACCAUCAUGUUUUAGGCCUAAAAAUAAUAUUAAAAUAAAUAUUUUGACUUCAG
rnacentral:lncRNA from 1 species